rnacentral:misc_RNA from 1 species
GUGGGAGGGGGCUUGCUCCCGAUGGCAAAGUGUCAGUCACCAUCAUUGUUGACUGAUUCAGCGCCAUCGGGAGCAAGCCCCCUUCCAC